AUUGAACGCUGGCGGAAUGCUUUACACAUGCAAGUCGAACGGCAGCACGGGGCAACCUGGUGGCGAGUGGCGAACGGGUGAGUAAUACAUCGGAACGUGCCCAAUCGUGGGGGAUAACGUAGCGAAAGUUACGCUAAUACCGCAUACGAUCUACGGAUGAAAGCGGGGGAUCGCAAGACCUCGCGCGAAUGGAGCGGCCGAUGUCAGAUUAGGUAGUUGGUGGGGUAAAGGCUCACCAAGCCAACGAUCUGUAGCUGGUCUGAGAGGACGACCAGCCACACUGGAACUGAGACACGGUCCAGACUCCUACGGGAGGCAGCAGUGGGGAAUUUUGGACAAUGGGCGCAAGCCUGAUCCAGCCAUGCCGCGUGCAGGAUGAAGGCCUUCGGGUUGUAAACUGCUUUUGUACGGAACGAAAAAGCUCUCUCUAAUACAGGGGGUGAAUGACGGUACCGUAAGAAUAAGCACCGGCUAACUACGUG
rnacentral:rRNA from 1 species